UAGGGAGUAGUAUAAGUGGAAGUACUGAGAGUUUUGAUCUCUUAGGUGUAGGUUCGAGUCCUAUUUUUCUAG
rnacentral:tRNA from 1 species